UUGGAACUUCCUCCUUAUCCAAUAUGUAAUUCUGUGCUCCAUUAACUAUUUUUAUAAAGAAGCAAACAUCUGAUAAAAAGUUAUGUGCAGCCCAACUCCAUAACUACUGUCCACUACUAUCAAAAGAUUUCUGCAAUGAGCUACACUUCUAACUUCCUCCUUAUCCAUUAUAAAAACAGUUAAUGGAACAGAUAUUCAUAUAAAGAAGCACACAUGUGAUAAACAGUGAAGACAACCAUUGUCAACUAUCUAUUCAGAAAAUGUCCCGACAAAACUCUAAACUGAUGCAGGCAGUCAAUAUUCCGUUAUUUCACAAAUGAAUACAUAAUCACAGAAGUAACACAAUUAUAUAUAAAAUAUUGGAUGGAUGACUUGUAUUAUAUUUAGCCUAUGUACAGUAAAUUUAUUUGGUGCCAGCCAAAGGAGGAUGGCCUUCCCCUGCUGAGUCUGGUUCCUCCCAAGGUUUCUCCCUAUACCACUCUGCUGAUGAUGCUCCAGCACUCUGCCCAUGAUGCUCCUCUUCCCUAAUUUAGGGAGUUUUUCCUUGCCACUGUUGCCUUCUGGCUUGCUCACUGGGGUAUAAAGGCACAAUAUUUUCAAUGUAA